UUUGGGGGCUCAGCCCCUCCCCCCAUUUGCCGUAGCCCCGCCCACUCCCCCAAGCCCCGCCCACUCCACGAGGCCACGCCCCUUUUCUGAUCCGCUCUUUUUAUUGGUUCACAUCCGACGUCAAUCAAAGGGGGGCGGGGUCAAAGGGGGAAUUUGGGGCCAUUUUGGGGCAAUUUUGGGUGAAUUUGGGGCCAUUUUGGGUGAAUUUUUCCCAUUUUCGAUGAAUUUGGGGCCAUUUUCGAUGAAUUUUCUCCAUUUCGAGUAAAUUUGGGGGCAUUUUGGGUCAUUUUUCCCCAUUUUCGAUGAAUUUGGGGUCAUUUCGGGUGAAUUUGGGGCAGAACUGGAACAAUUUUGGGGGAAUUUUCUCAAUUUUCGAUGAAUUUGGGGCCAUUUCCAUUCGAUUUUGCUCAAACGUCGUUUUUUUGUCGUUCCCGGGGUUAUCCGGGUGUUUUUUUGGGUCGAUUCCGGCUGGUUUUGGGUCAAUUCCAGCUGUUUUUGGGUCAAUUCCAGCUAUUUUCGGGUCAAUUCCGGCUGUUUUUGGGUCAAUUCCAGCUGUUUUCAGGUGGAUUCCAGCUGUUUUUGGGGUUAUCCAGCUGUUUUCGGGUCAAUUCCGGCUGUUUUUGGGGUGAUUCCGGCUGGUUUUGGGGUUAUCCAGCUGUUUUGGGUUGAUUCCAGCUGUUUUCAGGUGGAUUCCGGCUGUUUUCAGGUGGAUUCCGGCUGUUUUUGGGGUUAUCCAGCUGUUUUCAGGGUUAUCCAGCUGUUUUCAGGUUGAUUCCGGCUGUUUUCAGGUGGAUUCCGGCUGUUUUUGGGGUGAUUCCGGCUGUUUUCGGGUGGAUUCCAGCUGUUUUCGGGUCAAUUCCAGCUGUUUUGGGGUCAAUUCCGGCUGUUUUGGGGUCCAUUCCGGCUGUUUUUGGGGUUAUCCAGCUGUUUUCGGGGUGAUUCCAGCUGUUUUUCAGGGCGGGGGCAGGGCCAGCAGCGGGGGCAGCAGCUCCUGGGGGUCCCCGCGCCCCCCGCCCGCCUCGGCCGAGUGUUUGCAUUUCUCGGAGCCGCACUGGCACGGG